UUCCAAGUUCUUAGGAUUUUGUCGGGCC
rnacentral:sRNA from 1 species